UCUUAAACACAUACAACUCUUAAUAAACAAAAAUCAUAAUCUUUCAAUCAUAAUCAAUCUUCCAAUAACUUCUGAUAUAAUUCAAUCACAUACUACUCCAAUUACAUAAUCAAUAACUCAUAAAUCAAUCUUUGAUUUAUUCCACAGAUUCACUUCUUAGUAUUCAAAAACUAUCCAUUACUCUUCAAUAACAAAGAAAACAAAGAGAAUAAAGAGGUAGCACCAAACUUAACCCCAAUUCAUGACUAUCACAGUCUGGCAUCCCAACAAACUUCUACAACUCCUAUAUAUAUGCUAUUGAUUUCCAAAUCCUAACCGUAAUCUUGUAAUAAACCACUGUUGGAGUAGAGAGAGUUUG
rnacentral:lncRNA from 1 species